CCAACUCAAAAUUUCUAUGAAUAUGUUCCGUCAUCACUUGUUCCAUGUUUCUUUUAAAAAGCCCUAGCACCUCUAUGUUUCUGCUUUCAUGCUUUUAUAAUUAUCUCAUGUCUGGCCUUGGUUUGGAUCUUGAUGUCAUGCUGGCAUCAAUUGCUGCUCUAGUUGUAGUUUCUUCUCUCAUUGAAGAAAGCAUACUAAAGAGUACAGUAAAAUUGACAAAAGAGAUCCGUGUAAGUACCCUUGUUGUUGUUUAUGCAUUUGCAUGUGUAAAUGGUUUUUUAGUGUUAAGGACUUAAAGAUGCACAUAAUUAGUUUGACUUGGAGAUGUUUCCUUUUUUCCUUUAUCAACGCUAAAAAUUGAGUUGAUUGUAGAAGCAUUAGCUUCGGUUAUUCACAUGUAAGCCGAUUAGUGGGUCAAGGUCUAAAUUGAUUUAAGUUCCAUGUGGAAAACUAAUUAAUUGGUUAUCAACAACAACAUUGUGAUUCUUGGGGUCAUUUAGGGCAUUGGAUUUUUGUAUCAUAAAAAUGAAACCUUAGCUUACGAUGCCUCCUCUUUUAGCUACUAAUGUUUUAUUCAAUCAAUUGAAGACCCAACUUUUAUGGGAACUCAUCACCCUUAAACCAACCUUUUGUAUAGAAGACCCUACUUUUAUGAGAGAGUUGGUGAAGUUCGUUCUUUUAACCAGCCAAGUUUUACAUUCACCCAUCUCUUUAGGGAGUCUAGUUCCUUGCUCCUGGUGACAUACCAUUUGAUGUCAAGAACUUUUGUAAAAGGGAAACUUUUCAGUUUUGCUUAAAAACAUUUUGAAAGUGUUUUCUCACACAAUGAUGUGCCUUACUUUAUUUUUAGUGUCUUUCUAAGUGGAAGGUGGAAAUUUCAAGUUCUUGUUGUCCAUCAAUGGAAGAGGAAAAUUGAGAAAAAUCCUGGAUAUGAGUAGUGAAGAAAAAUCCUGGAUAUGAGUAGUGAAGAAAAAUCCUAUGAAGUUGAGAAAGUCAAGACUAGGAAAUGCUAUUGACUCUGGCGAUCAAGCGUCUGCAAGGAUUUAGCAGGAUAAUUUCUUGAGGGAGAAGCCAAUAUGCUUUGUAAGAUCUUGGCAGGUAGUAAAAUGAGAGUUGAGAGAUGGGCUCUGGGAUUGUGUAGUCGUUCCUCUGAGUCAGUAAUCGAGAGUACCGGGUAGGCAUAAAGGUGAUUUAUGUCUAUUUCGCGAAGAUAAUGACUUACGAACUUUUGGCUCUUUGAAAACCCGUAAGGUGAAGCGGGUUGGACACGUGACAAAGCUACACAUAACCACUAAAGCGGUGGAGCUUCGUAGUAGCCUUUGGGGUGGUGAGGUAUUCCCUCAAAGGUGAAGGUCAGCCUAAAAAAAAUAUCAAACACAGGAAAAAAAUCAAAAGGAAAAAAGCCGAAUGCAAAAGAAGAAAAAAGAAGAAAAAAAAGCAAAAGCUACCUGUCAAGAGAUGAAUGACAUGAAGGCUGAACUCGCAAGAAUUGAAUGUGACAAUCUCUCGUGGAUGUAUGAUUUUAGGGUCAUUAUCUGCUCCUUUUUUUUUAUUAUCUAGGAUGCUGAGGACGAUUCCUUUAUGUUCAUAUUCUGAAAGACAUUCCCUCUAAAGAUUCGACAACAUUGAUGCGAAAUAAGACCUAAUGCUUGUAUGGUACUAUAGGUAAAUUAAGGUUAUAUUAUUUGCACAACACGAGCACUCAAGCUUAUGAGUUGAAUUGAUCAUUUUUUGAACUAUUUCAAAAUUCAAAGUAAAAACUUGACGUCUCUCGUAUGUUUCCAGGCUUCCUAGGCAUAGGAGGAACUAACCACUCUCCCUUUGGUCUUAAAAAUGUUUGCCCAUUUCAUUACCAAAUUGCUAGUCCUUCCAUGAAAUAGAUGAAACCCCUCAAACCUAGUCCAACCAUGUUGAGCGUGAUGAAUUGUCAAUCAUUUCCUUUUGUCUUCGAAGAGGUAGACCAUUUGGGACAAGACCCCGGAACCUUAGUGUCGCCUAUCUUUUUUCAUUAAUUUUGUUUUGUGCAUUAUUUCAUUGUUUUCUUAUUUGUGUAUUUGAAAAGACCCUGGCACCUCUGUGUCGCCUAUCUUUCUUCAUUGUUUCUAGCAGCAGCAGUCCGACCCAUGUAAGUGCUUAAUGUCCUGUACACUCAUUCGUGAUAAUAAUUUUCUAUAAUUAAUAUGUUAGAAGUGAAAUCAUUUUCUAUAAAAGCACAAGGUGAUAUUUUUGAAAAGUUCUAUCGAAGUUGCAUAUUUGUAUGUCCUUGGCUUCACCUAAUCUUGUUUUCGUGAGUUGUAUAAAUUUCAUCUAUUUCAUCUUUAUUUUUAGUUUCAUUCUAGCUGUAGUUAAUAUCUUUUAUGUAUUAUAGUUCUGUAAUAAGAGGAUCAGCCGAGGCCUUCAGCCCUUUGAAUUCUUAAAUGUUUCAAUACUUCUUUAGAAAUGGUUUAUGCCCCUUCUCUUUUUCCCCGCCUUACUAAUUCCUGGCUCCACCCAUGUCUGUAUCCAUGCAUUUUUAUGUCAUCAAUCUAGGGCUUGAAUUUUUUUUUUAUUCCUCUAGCACUUGGGUGGUCCCAAGAUUUUAAUUUACAUGUGACUGGACAUGAUCCUAAAUUGUCUGGUGGUUGUCUUUUAUUUCUAAGAGGCCUCUACUUGGUGGAGGCUUGGUUUCUCGUUUUGCAUUUGAGAGUGACUACAUAAAUUUUGUAUGAGGUGAAUGGUUCCAACUUUGUGUAUUUAGACAAUGCAGCUACAUCUCAAAAGCCAUAUGUUGUUGAGGAUGUUCUCUGUGAUUAUGUGAGGGCUACAGCUCAAAUGUUCAGCACGAUAUUCAUUACUUAAGGUGUAGUGGACUAUGUCGAGAAUAUAAUCAGGGUCUCCAACAGAUCUCAACUACCUGGAAUAUCUGUCACAUUCCUAACCGUGCCUUUUAUAAUCAGGCUGAUAAAGCAUCUAUAUAAUCAUAUUGUGUCAUUAUUUAUUGAAGCUCUGCAUAUGUUGACAGACAACCAUUGAUUGAAGCAUGAAAUUAAAGUGGGGUCUUCAUCUCUUUCCAUGGAAAGAGAUAUGGAUUGAGUUCAAUAAUUUUGUGGUGUUUGUGGAUCAGGUCACUAGGAGUCCUCCAUUACCCUCUGACAACCAUGACACGUCAACCACCACUCUGGCCAUCUAGAAUCUGCAAUACAGCAUCUGACGCAAUGGUGCAGUUAGUAGAUCUCUCUUUGAAACCCAAUAUGAUUUUGCAUGCCCUACAAUGCUAGCUGUGUUGUCAAUUUUCUGGAUUUUUCAAAAUGAUUAUCAGUGUGACUGCAUGCAUCCUCAGGAAUAGAUGCACGAAUUUGUACUUCUUGCAAAGCUCUUAGAUUUUUCUAUUGUUUUCAAUGAUAUUCAGAUAUAUUUUAUGUGCGUUAUGGACAAAUUUGUGGCCCUCAAACACAAUGCUUUGUUCAAUGCUCAAGUUGUUGAUUGGUUGGCUGGAGGGUUAUGGAUUAGCCCCAUUUAUUACUUUAGUGUUUUGUUUGUCUAUCAUUGUUCACAGAUAAAGUUACUGUUGUCUUUGUUGAAGUUUCCUUUUGAGCAAUGUUAUGCUGAUAAAUUUGUGGUUU